rnacentral:rRNA from 1 species
GACGAACGCUGGUGGCGUGCUUAGCACAUGCAAGUCGAGCGGUAAGGCCCUUUCGGGGGUACACGAGCGGCGAACGGGUGAGUAACACGUGGGUGACCUGCCCCCAGCUCUGGGAUAAGCCUGGGAAACCGGGUCUAAUACCGGAUAGGACUCCAUGACGCAUGUUGUGGGGUGGAAAGCCUUGUGCGGCUGAGGAUGGGCCCGCGGCCUAUCAGCUUGUUGGUGGGGUGAUGGCCUACCAAGGCGACGACGGGUAGCCGGCCUGAGAGGGCGACCGGCCACACUGGGACUGAGACACGGCCCAGACUCCUACGGGAGGCAGCAGUGGGGAAUCUUGCGCAAUGGGCGAAAGCCUGACGCAGCGACGCCGCGUGAGGGAUGACGGCCU